UCUGAUCUUUUGCUCUUGACGGUUAAGUCAAAUUUAAAAGAUAAGAACUAAAUGAGCACCUGCACUGAUACCAUUUGUUGCCCAGAAGACAACCCAAGAGAGGGGUGAAUUGGGUUUUUCAAAACUUUUCUUCCAAGUGCAGCUAAAUAAAACAAUUCUAAGUAAUAACUGUAAUGUAAAUGCAAUAAACAAAGUAAGCAACGCGCACACACAAAUACAAAG
rnacentral:lncRNA from 1 species